GUCAGCGGCGGACGGGUGAGUAACACAUGGAUAACCUACCUAUAAGACUGGGAUAACUUCGGGAAACCGGAGCUAAUACCGGAUAAUAUUUUGAACCGCAUGGUUCAAAAGUGAAAGACGGUCUUGCUGUCACUUAUAGAUGGAUCCGCGCUGCAUUAGCUAGUUGGUAAGGUAACGGCUUACCAAGGCAACGAUGCAUAGCCGACCUGAGAGGGUGAUCGGCCACACUGGAACUGAGACACGGUCCAGACUCCUACGGGAGGCAGCAGUAGGGAAUCUUCCGCAAUGGGCGAAAGCCUGACGGAGCAACGCCGCGUGAGUGAUGAAGGUCUUCGGAUCGUAAAACUCUGUUAUUAGGGAAGAACAUAUGUGUAAGUAACUGUGCACAUCUUGACGGUACCUAAUCAGAAAGCCACGGCUAACUACGUGCCAGCAGCCGCGGUAAUACGUAGGUGGCAAGCGUUAUCCGGAAUUAUUGGGCGUAAAGCGCGCGUAGGCGGUUUUUUAAGUCUGAUGUGAAAGCCCACGGCUCAACCGUGGAGGGUCAUUGGAAACUGGAAAACUUGAGUGCAGAAGAGGAAAGUGGAAUUCCAUGUGUAGCGGUGAAAUGCGCAGAGAUAUGGAGGAACACCAGUGGCGAAGGCGACUUUCUGGUCUGUAACUGACGCUGAUGUGCGAAAGCGUGGGGAUCAAACAGGAUUAGAUACCCUGGUAGUCCACGCCGUAAACGAUGAGUGCUAAGUGUUAGGGGGUUUCCGCCCCUUAGUGCUGCAGCUAACGCAUUAAGCACUCCGCCUGGGGAGUACGACCGCAAGGUUGAAACUCAAAGGAAUUGACGGC
rnacentral:rRNA from 1 species